CUGUAAGAGCCUGUGACCGAUACCAAGAUCUCAAUGACUGCCAGGGAAACUGGCAAUGUUCAAAGGCUGCAGCAAGUGCUCAUCCUUCAUCACUAGCCUCAGUGUGUCAAGGGUGAUCCUACUUUGUUUACUUCGUUUGCUGUCAUGAUGCCAAAGUUCUUGGUUUGUGUGUUUGUUGUGACUGAUAUAAUACUUCCACACUGCUGCUUCACAGUUACUGUAGAGCAUCUUUUGACCUGUGAGAAGAAGUUGUUCCCUCUCACCAUAGAUCAGACUGCUCUAUCUGAGCUAUCCAAUAGGAGAGUGACUCUGUGUUAUGAUGAACAUGUAUUGAUGAUCCAUUUGAAUUUUGCAUUACAUCUAGCUUAAGUUGAAGUACUACUUUCUUCCUUUUUCUUUGUGAUCUGCUAUACGCAUAAAUUAACAUUAGAAGUGUCCACUGAAUGAGGAUCAUGCAAUCUUCAAAAGAACCAUCAACAAGAUGAAACAUUAUGCAAAUGUGCCACUGGCUUUACCUGUUCAUCCAUGGCAGUAGCUAAGGAAUUCUCCUGUCUUGUUAUCUUCAAGCAAUCAAUCUAAAGCAGUGUGGAACUGUGGAUGUCUUCAGUAUCAGAGAUUCUUUGGCUGUCUCUGCUGCUGCUUCUCCUGCACCACAAGUUUGUGUGGAACUGUGGAUGUACUGCCAGAGCUUCUUUGGUUGUUUCUACUGCUGAUCCUUCUGCACUGAAAGUAUAGUAUGGAAGUGUGGAUGUCCUCAGUAGCAGAGCUUCUUUGGUUGUUUCUGCUACUGCUUCUUCUGCAUCAGAAGUGUAGUGUGGAACUGUGGAUGUCCGAUCAGAUCUUUGGUUGUUUCUACUGCUGAUUCUUCUGCAUCAAAAUUAUAGUGCUGAAGUGUGGAUGGGUUUAAGUAGCAGAGCUUCUUUGGUUGUUUCUUCUACUGCUUCUUCUGCAUCAAAAAUAGUGUGGAACUGUGGAUGUCUUCAGUAGUAAAGCUUCUUUGGUUGUUUCUGCUGUUUCUCCUGCUGCUGCCUGUUCAUCAAAUGUAGGUUUGGAACUGUGGAUGUCCUCACAACCAGAACUUCUGUGGUUGUUUCCUCUGCUGCUUCUUGUUCAUCAUAUGUAGUGUGGCACUGUAGGUGUUUCUGCUACUGCUGCUUGUUCAUCAAAUGCAGUGUGGAACUGUGGAUGUCCUCAGCAUCAGAGAUUCUUUUGGUGAUUUCUUCUGGUGCUGCUUUUUCUUUUUGCCUUCAUCUGCCUUAAGACAAAGGAGUGAAGCUGCACCAUGAAUGUCUCUUUCCAUGGGAUGAAAGAAAUAAACUCUUGCCAUUGAUUGUAGCUUUGAGGAAAAGCUGCAUAUAUCAAGGUUCAGGUGGUAACUCUUGUGAGCAGGAAGAAGCCUAAUUGCUCUUCUUUCUUACUACUUGAUGAUCAUGAUAGAUAAGGAUUCUUCAUCCUGUCUUGUAAUGAAAGUUCAACAUUGAAAUAAUAUUGAAAUCAGACUUGUCUUUUGUGCUUUAA